AUACGAAGGGUGCAAGCGUUGUUCGGAUUUACUGGGCGUAAAGCGUCCGUAGGUGGUUUGUUAAGUCAGGGGUGAAAUCCCGGGGCCUAACCCCGGAACUGCCUUUGAUACUGGCAGGCUGGAGCGCGAUAGAGGAAGUUGGAAUAUCUGGUGUAGGGGUGAAAUCCGUAGAUAUCAGAUAGAACACCAAUGGCGAAGGCAGUCUUCUGGAUCGUUGCUGACACUGAGGGACGAAAGCGUGGGUAGCAAACAGAAUUAGAUACUCUGGUAGUCCACGCCCUAAACGAUGCAUGCUUGUUGUUGGUUUCCUUCGGGGAAUCAGUGACGAAGCUAACGCGUUAAGCAUGCCGCCUGGGGACUACGAUCGCAAGAUUAAAACUUAAAGGAAUUGACGGGG
rnacentral:rRNA from 1 species